rnacentral:sRNA from 1 species
CCUGCCAACCAAACGGUUAAAAAUGGAAUCACCAACUUUUAGCCAAACGUAACUUCAGCAUCGAGCUGGAUAUUGAGAAGCCCAAUCUGUGUUAGGUAGGGUGGAACUGUAUUAAGAAACAUAUUUAGUUGAUCAUUACGAAAGAACUCAUAUACGAAGUAAAGAGAAUUUUAAGGAGAAAAAUCAGAGAUAUCGAAAACCACUUACUAGACACUAGAGAAGACGGUCAUAAUAACCUUACACACUUGUCUUAUAAUAAAUUACUUAAAAACUGUAACUACGAAGCCAAAAGCCAAGGAAAAUAAUCUAAUUUUGUCAACAAAGAAAAAUCAGAAAGUUAGUGCCGUGAUGGGCACAUUCUACGUCUGGUACCUAGUAUGGGAUAACCACCCGUUAAAUGAAACGUGGACAAGCACCACAACUAACUUCUAACAUUAACAGUAAAGUAGCCACUUAACAAUAAGCAAAGCUCCAUUGUUGACGCUGUGAACGACUUCAAAGCUGAGGCAGGAAGUCAGGAACCACUCUCAACAAGCUGCGUGUGGUCAAGAGAAAUUCUCUCCAAAAUAUAAUAAAGAAGUGGCUAAACCUCUCUGAGACAGGGCAAUAAAAUACUGUAGUAAUGAAGAAGGGAUGCCCAGCCAAGUUCAAAUAACACUGAAAUAAGCCUGCUGCCGGUAUUUAUAGUUUUCCAGGACAAGGUUUUAGAGUCUGCAUUGGUGGGCUUAACGAUGGUUCUGAUGAUACUUGCAAAAAGCACCAGGCAAGGAUCUAUUUGGACAAAGGGCAUAUGGAUUCAUGCAUUCCUUUGACCUUAAUUUGCAAUUUGGCCUUUCCUAAUUUUCUAUCCAUUGAAUAUAGUCAGGUUAUUCAAAUUCAAGGCGAUCAGAGAAAGAACGUGUCUACUUUUUCUUAUUCAGGUAAUUCUAGUCAGUUACACCCAGUUUAGUGCAUGCAAUUUUAGCAUAUGGAGUAGCUAAAUUUUCUUAUUACUGGGCUGGCAUUGCGAAGAAGGAACACCUAAAGAUUAAUGGUUUUUGAGCAGCAGUAAGAGAUCUAGCAGAUUACAAUAGCCAUUGUAGCUAAAACUAACAGAUAGUGUCUGAUACUGCAAUAACUUUUUGUUUGAAUAAGAUGAUACUGCAAUAACUGAUAGGCUUAUCUGGCUGUGGUUGUAGCCCUUCUAAAUGUACUAUCAGUAUUUGUUCAAUUGGAAUUCACAAUAUUUCCUAAUUUGGUUAAUCUUAUAUUCCAUGCAUAUCAAGACCAUGCAGACAAAGCCAGUAUAUCGGGGUUCAUAUGCUGAGGAUAAUGAAUUACUCUAAUCUUCUAUACUUUAGAAUUUAGUAGCUGGUAUCAAGAUGGAAAAGGUCCCUGUGACUGCAGGGACAAUGGCACCCGGUUGCAACUUAGCAACUAGUGUCGCAAUUUGUUUUGCCAACUUUGAUCUCUGAUGACAACUUUUACAGAGCUUCCAGAUAUACUGGGGUUGCUUAGAGGUCCAUGGUGGAAUCGUUGGCUACUGGUGCGGACUAUGAUUUAGUAAUUCUUUGAAUUAUGCAAAGAUAACUCUCAAAUUUUUUUGCUCAGGCAAGAAAUAGCUUCUGGACCAAAAUUGGCACAUGAAAAGAAGGAUUAAACGUCGCCGAAAGGAGAAGACAGGACAAAUGAAAUGAUACAAAGGACAUUAUGGCAGCAGGGAUUGAAUCGGUUGAGCUUUUCCUUCAGUUACUUGAGUGUUGGUUUUUUUUAAUCCCACUUUGCCCCUCAUCCAGAAGCUGCAAUUCGUACAGCAUAUUUCAUCACAACCAGCCAAAUGUACUUGGUUUUAUAACUGUGAAAUAAUACAUCGUAUCAGCUUCAAGAUCUUGGCAUAAUCGGCUUUGGAAAAAGUUUCACCAAUUGGAACAGAAACCACUUUCUGCCCUUCUUUUCCCUGAUGUCUGUCUCCUUUUCAUGAAAAGAUUCAUGACUACUGCAAGAUUUGUUCUUGACAAUCCUCCUAGAUUUUGUCUGGCACUUUUCCAUUACGUUUCUGUAAGCUACACUAAAAAAUCUGAACUUUGUCCAA